AAUGAAGGGAAUCAAA
rnacentral:sRNA from 1 species